rnacentral:rRNA from 1 species
GGCAGCAGGACUGUAGCAAUACAGUUGCUGGCGACCGGCAAACGGGUGCGGAACACGUACGCAAUCUACCCAAAACUGGUGAAUAGCCCUCCGAAAGGAGGAUUAAUACACCGUAACCUAUUGAAGUGGCAUCACUUUAUUAGUAUAGCUCCGGCGGUUUUGGAUGAGCGUGCGGCUGAUUAGGUAGUUGGCGGGGUAACGGCCCACCAAGCCUGCGAUCAGUAACUGGUGUGAGAGCACGACCAGUCACACGGGCACUGAGACACGGGCCCGACUCCUACGGGAGGCAGCAGUAAGGAAUAUUGGUUAAUGGACGCAAGUCUGAACCAGCCAUGCCGCGUGGAGGAUGAAGGCCCUCUGGGUUGUAAACUUCUUUUAUCUGGGACGAAACCCUCAUAUUCUUAUGAGACUGACGGUACCAGAGGAAUAAGCACCGGCUAACUCCGUGCCAGCAGCCGCGGUAAUACGGAGGGUGCAAGCGUUA